AACGCACAUUGCACUCCUUUGGAGUAUGCCUGUUUGAGAAUCUAUUGUAUUCAUUUUCUGUACUUUUUUUUUCAAGAGUAUGGAAAGAUUUGAGGUUGUUUCUGAUGCCCGACUUGUUUUGGGGGGAAGAAAAUAAUUUUCUGUUUUUAAUGUUAUUGGUUCCUUAACUUAUAAAAAAGAGAUGGCUUUAUGCCUUACCUUUUUUUGAACCAUGGUCUCAAAUCAGGUAGGAAGACCCGCUGAACUUAA
rnacentral:misc_RNA from 1 species